rnacentral:rRNA from 1 species
GACGAACGCUGGCGGCGUGCUUAACACAUGCAAGUCGAACGGAAAGGCCCUGCUUUUGUGGGGUGCUCGAGUGGCGAACGGGUGAGUAACACGUGAGUAACCUGCCCUUGACUUUGGGAUAACUUCAGGAAACUGGGGCUAAUACCGGAUAGGAGCUCCUGCUGCAUGGUGGGGGUUGGAAAGUUUCGGCGGUUGGGGAUGGACUCUCGGCUUAUCCGCUUGUUGGGGGGGUAGUGGCUUACCAAGGCUUUGACGGGUAGCCGGCCUGAGCGGGUGACCGGCCACAAUGGGACUGAGGUAAGGCCCAGACUCCUACGGGGGGCAGCAGGGGGGAAGAUUGCACAAUGGGCGGAAGCCUGAUGCAGCAACGCCGCGUGCGGGAUGACGGCCUUCGGGUUGUAAACCGCUUUCGCCUGUGACGAAGCGUGAGUGACGGUAAUGGGUAAAGAAGCACCGGCUAACUACGUG